GAUUAAUAGGGACAGUCAGGGGCACUCGUAUUCCGCAUAGAGAGGAGAAAUUCUUAGACCCACGGAUGAAA
rnacentral:rRNA from 1 species